AUACCGGGCCUUUUGGGCUUGGUAAUUGGAAUGAGGGAGAGUUAAACGGACCAUCGAGUAUCCAUUGGAGGGCAAGUCUGGUGCCAGCAGCUGCGGUAAUACCAGCUCCAAUAGCGUAUAUUAAAGUUGUUGCAGUAAAAAGCUCGUAGUUGGACUUGUGUGCGCUGUCCGCGGGUGGCCUGCGCCCAAAAGGGCGUUUCGGUUCGGCCCCGGUGGCGCCUUGAAAUCUGCAGCUGGGGGGACGUUGGCCUUAACUGGUCGGCGACCGCACGCCGGCUGCUCGGUUACUGUGAGAAAAUUAGAGUGUUCAAGGCAGGCAUUGGGUGCAAUUGAAUACAUUAGCAUGGAAUAAUAAAAUAUGGCUCCUGCCGUAUUUUGUUGGUUUUGACUGGUGGGAGUAAUGAUUGAUAGGGACGGUUGGGGGUGCUAGUAUUGAGCGGCCAGAGGUGAAAUUCAUGGAUUCGCUCAAGACUAACUUAUGCGAAAGCAUUCACCAAGGACGUCCUCUUUAAUCAAGAACGAAAGUUGGGGGAUCGAAGACGAUCAGAUACCGUCGUAGUCUCAACCAUAAACUAUGUCGACUUGGGGUCGGCGGUAGUUUUUUCAUUAAGACACUGUCGGGACCACGGGAGAAAUCAAAGUGUCUGGACUCUGGGGGAAGUAUGGUCGCAAGGCUGAAACUUGAAGGAAUUGACGGAAGGGCACCACCAGGAGUGGAGCCUGCGGCUUAAUUUGACCCAACACGGGGAAACUUACCAGGUCCAGAGAUGUAGAGGAUUGACAGAUUGAAGCUCUUUCUUGAUCACUUCGGUGGUGGUGCAUGGCCGUUCUUAGUUGGUGGAGUGAUUUGUCUGGUUAAUUCCGUUAACGAACGAGACCUCAGCCUGCUAGUGUAGUCGGCUGGAUUGCCUUUGGCGAUCCGUGAUUUCGACUUCUUAGAGGGACAAUCGACGCGCAGUCGAUGGAAGUUUGAGGCAAUAACAGGUCUGUGAUGCCCUUAGAUGUUCUGGGCCGCACGCGCGCUACACUGCUGGGCUCAGCGAGUUUUACUUGGCCGAGAGGCCCGGUUAAUCUUGUGAAAUCCCAGCGUGCCUUGUCUCGCCUCCUGCAACUGGAGGCGCCAACGAGGAAUUCCUAGUAGACGCAGGUCAUCAACCUGCAUCGAUUACGUCCCUGCCCUUUGUACACACCGCCCGUCGUUCCAUAAGAGUGAGGCAUCCGGUGAAUUCUCGGGAGAGCCUAGGCGUGGCCAGCAAUGGUCUGCUCGGGUUUGAACUUGCAUAAACUUGG
rnacentral:rRNA from 1 species